rfam:Triticum aestivum genome assembly, contig: Triticum_aestivum_CS42_TGACv1_scaffold_592071_7BS
GAUGUACUCCCUCCGUCCAGAAAUACUUGUCAUCAAAAUAAAUAAAAGAUGAUGUAUCUAGAUGUAUUUUAGUUUUAGAUACAUCCCUUUUUAUCCAUUUUGAUGACAACUAUUUUUGGACGGAGGGAGUAUUCC